GGGGACGAACAUACGCGAAAGCGGUGCUAAUACCGAAUGAAGUGGAGCUUCCGCAUGGAAGCAUCACCAAAGGUGGCCUCUAUUUAUAAGCUACCACUGAGAGAUGGGUCUGCGUCUGAUUAGCUAGUUGGCGGGGUAAUGGCCCACCAAGGCGACGAUCAGUAGCCGGUCUGAGAGGAUGAACGGCCACAUUGGGACUGAGACACGGCCCAAACUCCUACGGGAGGCAGCAGUGGGGAAUCUUCCGCAAUGGACGAAAGUCUGACGGAGCAACGCCGCGUGAAGUGAAGAAGGUUUUCGGAUCGUAAAGCUCUGUUGUUUGAGACGAAUGUGCAGACUUUGAAUAAGGGUUUGUAAUGACGGUAUUAAACGAGAAAGCCACGGCUAACUACGUGCCAGCCGCGGC
rnacentral:rRNA from 1 species